GUGGUUAGCUCAGGGGUAGAGCAAUUCGCUUACAACGAGAAAGUCAGCGGUUCGAAUCCGUUAU
rnacentral:tRNA from 1 species